UACGAAGGGGGCUAGCGUUGCUCGGAAUCACUGGGCGUAAAGCGCACGUAGGCGGAUCUUUAAGUCAGGGGUGAAAUCCCAAGGCUCAACCUUGGAGCUGCCUUUGAUACUGGGGAUCUCGAGUCCGGAAGAGGUUGGUGGAACUGCGAGUGUAGAGGUGAAAUUCGUAGAUAUUCGCAAGAACACCAGUGGCGAAGGCGGCCAACUGGUCCGGUACUGGACGCUGAGGUGCGAAAGCGUGGGGAGCAAACAGGGAU
rnacentral:rRNA from 1 species